rnacentral:lncRNA from 1 species
AAUUAAAUAAUAAAUUAGAAAUAUGUAUCAAUUUCUCACAUUCAAUGGCGAAAUACUUGAUUACAUAUAGUAAAGUAUUGUAUUUAAAAAGAAACUCUGAGCUGUGUACAAUGAGACAAACAACACAACUGAAAAUGAUGCAAGCAGAAUUAGACCUACAGCAAAACAAGUGAGUAAAACAAACAGUAAGAAGAUAUGACAUAUUAAUAGCUUGACUACAAAGAGCUUCCCAAUUCCGUCAUCGAAAUACUCGCCUUAAUUACAUUAUCAUCUGUUUUCAUUCAGGUUGGAGAAAAGACGACAAAUCAGAAGCCCACUUUGUAAUUUGCGAUUACCUGAAAUAAAGUGUCUUCAAUUUGACUCCCUCUACUCGCGUGAGAAUGUUUGCGAAAACACCGGGCUCUUCCACAUUUAAUGCCGACAGCUUGGGUGUUCAAUAAAUACCGGAGGAGCGCACUUGCCUUCACGAGCUUUGUGGGACAAAAUGAUAUUACAGAAAAAAACGCGCUGGUUUCUGCUGCAUGUGCUUCUGCUGGGACUGAUGGCAGCAGUUUCAUUAGUGGAUCGCGGGCCAAGAAUAUCCAUAUAAGGUGACGUGGAGGGGGACCCCACUGCACUGGAAGGGGAUAUUGGUGACAUGGAGGGUGACCCCACUGCUGCUGAAGGUGACCUGGAGGGAGACCCCUCUUCCCUGGAAGGGGAUAUAGGUGACGUGAAGGGUGACCCCACUGCUGCUGAAGGUGACCCCACUGCUGCUGAAGUUGACGUUGAGGGGGAACCCACUGCACUGGAAGGGGAUAUUGGUGACGUGGAGGGUGACCCCACUCCUGCUGAAGGUGAUCCCUCUGCCCUGGAAGGGGAUGUUGGUGACGUUGAAGGUUACCCCACUGCUGCUGAAGGAGACGUGGAGGGGUUCUGGUGAGCUGUUACUGCUUUAGUGCUUGGAGUGACUGGAGGACUAUGUGAAUCCCUGGUCUUGGAUUGCUUUGAGAUGCCAAUAAACCUGUAUAAUUCAGAUGCCUGGGAAUGUGUUCAGCUUUGUGUGCUC